rnacentral:lncRNA from 1 species
UUGGGGAUGCUGGUCAGUGGUAGCACACCUCUGGGUUCAAUCACCAGUGCUACAAAAACAAAAAUAAGAAAGAAUGGAAUUCUAAUACACUUUACAAUAUAAAUUAACUUUGAAAACAUCAAACAUGAAUAUGGCCAAUGCCACUAAAUUGGUUGCAGUGGCAAAUUCUAUGUUAUCUGUGCAUAUCUUAUCUCAAUAUAAAAGCAAACACAUGGUGGGGGGAGUGCAUCAAGAAAUUCUGAAUUGGGAGAGAAGAGAGCAUCAGAAGAAAAAGUAGCUGGGCUGAAGGGCUGUAGCCUAUGUUACGGAAAGUAGCUGCACUUUAAUUUCUGAUAUAGAUUGGACUUCCAGGUAAGACAAAAACUAAUCAAUGGUGAUGGAAGUCAGCAUAUUUGUUUCCUUUGUGGGAGGGGAGAUUGGCAGAGGAGGAGCCAAUAACCUUUUGAGGUUCAGAACAUCUUACCCUGGUUGAUCUCUACAUGGGUGUAUGCUUAUGUCGAAAUUUGUUGAGACAUAUUCUUGUUACUUACUCUACAGUUUAUAUCAUAUAUGAAAUUUAAAAGUACUUUUAAAUAAAAACAAAAAAUAAAAACACCUGCCCUUCG